GCAUACUCACAGUCACACAGAAUGUCCAGCCUCUAUAGAUGAUCCACUAGAAGCAUCGUGCUGAUCAGCUUCUGCAAAAGUGCUAGCUCACGUAGAAAUUUAUAGAUGGCUGAUCUUCUCCACCCAUGGAUCUGUCGGACUCCUCCAAAAUCAUAGAAAUAAUAAGGAGGAACUGGUGAUGGAAAGAUGGAGGGAGAACUCUCUUCUCUUUUGACUUUUUUCUCACCAAAAAUUCUAGAACAGAUUUCUAGGAUGCUCACCCAAGAGGAGGAAGAACUCCUCUAGAUCACACGCUUACAAGAGGCCGCCCACCCUA
rnacentral:lncRNA from 1 species